rnacentral:lncRNA from 1 species
AGAAGCCCAGCCGGCUUCACCUCUCAAUGGCACACACUGCAGGACUUUGCGGCACCUAGCCCAGGCACUCCAGCAGCCCAGAGGGAGCUCAUCCCCCAGUCAGGCCCAGCUGGCACCGGCCGGCCCACGGAGCCCCUGCUGGCCGGUGAGUGCCCUGUACAGUGUGGGCUCCUGCCGGCGCCUCUCCCUCCACACCUCCUGGCGAGCAGAGGGAGCUGGCUUCGGCCUUGGCCAGCCCCAGAGAGGGGCCCCCACAGUGCAGUGGUGGGCUGAAGGGCUCCUCAAGUGCAGCCAGAGUGGAUGUGGAGGACGAGGAGGCACCAAGAGUGAGCAAGGGCUGCUAGCAUAUUGUCACCUCUCACUUCUAGUUGAAAAAGCAAAAUCAACAGAAACUCUCAUUCACUGCUGGGUAGAGGGGAGGGGAAGAAGAAAAGGAAGCCAAAAGGGAGAAGUCAAAGACUGAAGAGGCAAAUUAGGAGUGUCCCCACACUGAAGGGAAAAGAAGCUCAGGAAGAAGGUCCUGGGGAGCAGCAGUUGCCACUGCUGAGAGCUUAUCAUCAAGGAGACACAGUAGUGGU